rnacentral:rRNA from 1 species
UACGGAAUGUGCAAACGUUAUUCGGAAUCACUGGGCUUAAAGAGUCCGUAGGCGGCAUGUUAGGUGAGGUGUGAAAUCCCCCGGCUUAACCGAGGAAUUGCGCUUCAAACCGGCGUGCUUGAGGAAGAUAGAGGUGGGCGGAACUGAUGGUGGAGCGGUGAAAUGCGUUGAUAUCAUCAGGAACACCGGAGGCGAAGGCGGCCCACUGGGUCUUUUCUGACGCUGAGGGACGAAAGCUAGGGGAGCGAACGGG